CAAGAUUUGAAUCUGGAGUGUCCUCACCCAGACUCUUCCUGAAGUGAAGCAUGCACCUACCCCACUGGAACUUAGUGUUAAAACACCAGCCCACCUCACUUGACUCUUUUGAAAGUAUAUGUGUGCUUGUGGGCGUGGUGUCAUCACUGCAGCGGACAGAUUCACCUGUGUACCAUCAACUCAUCAACUGCCUUUACAUAACCCUGGUCCUCACCUAUUUUCGGUGCCAGAUUGUUCUGUCUAACCGGUGACUCUCCAGCUCUACUCAAGUGUCUCCUCCAGAGCUCACCAGCUCCAGCAGCUAUCUGAUCCAUCAGUCCAGUUAACCACACAGCAAGACAUAUUAUUCUUCAGGUAUUUGCAUUAACAGUUCCCUAAAAGGCAGCAACACCACUAACACUGGAAUUAGCUGAGGAGACAGCUCGCAGCUAGCUGUUACU